rnacentral:rRNA from 1 species
UGGGGAAUUUUGGACAAUGGGCGCAAGCCUGAUCCAGCAAUGCCGCGUGCGGGAAGAAGGCCUUCGGGUUGUAAACCGCUUUUGUCAGGGAAGAAACGGUCUGGGCUAAUACCCCGGACUAAUGACGGUACCUGAAGGAUAAGCACCGGCUAACUACGUGCCAGCAGCCGCGGUAAUACGUAGGGUGCAAGCGUUAAUCGGAAUUACUGGGCGUAAAGCGUGCGCAGGCGGUUAUGCAAGACAGAUGUGAAAUCCCCGGGCUUAACCUGGGAGCUGCAUUUGUGACUGCAUAGCUAGAGUACGGUAGAGGGGGAUGGAAUUCCGCGUGUAGCAGUGAAAUGCGUAGAUAUGCGGAGGAACACCGAUGGCGAAGGCAAUCCCCUGGACCUGUACUGACGCUCAUGCACGAAAGCGUGGGGAGCAAACA